rnacentral:snoRNA from 2 species
CUCCUCUCAGGAUGACACCCGAAGAGUUUCCAGUAUUCUACCAGUCUUAGCUAUGGGAGGGAGAGUCAAGCAGAGGUAUAUCCAUUCCAUUCCUAGCUUGGGCAGUGGUUAGCGAGUGGAAGGCAAUCUGCUACAAGU